rnacentral:rRNA from 1 species
GGUUGAUCCUGCCAGUAGUCAUAUGCUUGUCUCAAAGAUUA